rnacentral:tRNA from 1 species
UGGGCUGUAGUUCAGUGGUAGAGCAACUGAAGGUCUGGGUUCAAUCCUUGGCAUCUCAA